UACGUGGGGCGCAAGCGUUGUCCGGAAUUAUUGGGCGUAAAGAGCUCGUAGGCGGCUUGUCACGUCGAUUGUGAAAGCUCGGGGCUUAACCCCGAGCCUGCAGUCGAUACGGGCUAGCUAGAGUGUGGUAGGGGAGAUCGGAAUUCCUGGUGUAGCGGUGAAAUGCGCAGAUAUCAGGAGGAACACCGGUGGCGAAGGCGGAUCUCUGGGCCAUUACUGACGCUGAGGAGCGAAAGCGUGGGGAGCGAACAGG
rnacentral:rRNA from 1 species